rnacentral:rRNA from 1 species
AUACGGAGGAUCCGAGCGUUAUCCGGAUUUAUUGGGUUUAAAGGGUGCGCAGGCGGGAGAUUAAGUCGGCGGUGAAAUUUUGCAGCUCAGCUGUAAAAGUGCCUUCGAAACUGGUUUCCUUGGGUGUAGAUGAAGUAGGCGGAAUUUUUGGUGUAGCGGUGAAAUGCAUAGAUAUCACGAGGAACUCCGAUUGCGCAGGCAGCUUACUAAACUACUACUGACGCUCAGGCACGAAGGCGUGGGGAUCAAACAGGAUUAGAUACCCUGGUAGUCCACGCAGUAAACGAUGAUUACUAGCUGUUUGCGAUACAAUGUAAGCGGCUGAGCGAAAGCGUUAAGUAAUCCACCUGGGGAGUACGUUCGCAAGAAUGAAACUCAAAUGAAUUGACGGGG